rnacentral:lncRNA from 1 species
AUCUUGGUGCAUAGGAUAUUCAAGUUCUUGGGGCAAUUCCGCACAUGUUUUGUGUAGAAAGAAAUUGUCACAAUCACCUUGGGUUGUAUUAUCAAUGGUAUGACUACUAGUGCUGCAACUAUAUGCUGAAAUUUCAUUUUCAUCAGAUGCCUAUUUAUCAUCUCCUCUAUUGUCCUGUCUCUUGUAUCGGUACUAGAUUUGUCUAUUUAAUUGUGUAAAUCAAUAAUCACAUUACAAUUCGAAACAAUAUAUAACAUGGGAUGGAAAGAAAAUUUGUACCCAUAAUAUAUGUUGUUUUUUUAAGUGCAUAACCAACUAUAAAUUUAAACGAACAGUCCACGGGUCAAACAAACAUAAAAAUUACAACUAAAAGAAUCCAAUAGUUCACCUAUCGCUACUGUUACAAAUCUUGACGACAGUGAGUGCAAAUAACAAAUAUACAAGGCGCACAUUCAAGAACUGCUGUCCGAAUGCCAAUAUACCCAGUACCACAACUGCCACACGAGACAUUCUUCUUUUUAUUUUGAACAAAUGUGAGGUGGUGUGGGUGCAAAUUGUCAACUUCAAUGGUAGCCCCAAACUUGAUAUUUGAGUAAACAUCAUCACGAAGGAGACAACCGUUAUGAAAGGACAUAUCACAAUCGCGACAAUGAUAGAACCAAUAAUUUGGAUUUAUAUAUAUUGAGCACACUUCACAGUCGAAUUCAUGUGGAUGAUUUUUGACAGGCGGAUACAUCAAGUGGAGUGGAUGUGGGUCCCAUCUGUGCCUGACUGUACGUGGCAUAAUAGCACAACUUUUACUUGGGUAAAAAUUGCAAGUUUCACAUCCAAAUCCAAAACCUGAAUAUUUAUACGCACUUGCACUGCAGUCCAUGAUUUUAAGUUGCUUAAGGGAGUGUGUGUGAACUUCAUGUUUGAUCUUAUUGGGCAGUGAAGCACACACGAUAUCCAUGUAGAAAUUACAGAGCUCACAAUAAAAGAAUAUACCGUUGCAAUACUUUUGGCAAAAAUCACAUUUAAAGAAAUGACAACGAGUAGGAUAUUGAUUUGCGACGAGCUUGUGUUCUGGGUGAGAUAGAUGUUUCAACUCUUUUGGUAGCUCGGCACAAUAUUUGUGCAGGAAAUAUUUACAUUGCAGACAACCGUAAAAUGGAUCGUCGGUGAGAGGUUGCACACACCCGUCACAUAGCAUUUCCUCAUUUUUCAUCUCAUUAUUAUUCAUUUUAAAUUCAUGAAAAAUGAUAAGUGGAUGAUCUUUAUGUGCCCAAUGAUUGAUAUAAUCAUCUGUUGUUGUAGAGGUAUCAUCUGUAAGACUAAUGGCCUUGACAAAUUGGUGUAUUAAUAAACCAAGCGAGGCUUCAUCAGGUAAUGGUAAGUGCAUCAAAUUAGGCUCAUCUUUCUCAUCACCACCUUCAUAAAUAUUCAUAUUUUCACUACAUUUGAAACCAAGAAAAAAUGAAAGUUUAAUUAAGAAUCUUUAGCAAGUAGAAAGAAGCCAAGUUAGAAUGAAAACAAAAAUUCACAGAAAAUAAAAAUAUGACGGCAAGAUAAUGAACCUCAACGUCAAAGGUUCUGCCGUCUUUGUUGAAGUAGCACAUUUGAUGUGAGCAAAAAAUCUACAAUCUGCACAAUAAUAAAUCCAAUAGUUCGGAAAAAGUUUUCUGUUGCAUAUACUACAACUUUGCCAGAAAGUACGAUAUUGUUCGGGAAGAGAAUAGGCUAGGACAAGAGGGUGAUCUUCGUGAAAUUGACAUUUGAGGGUGGUUGUUGCAGAGGCACAACUCUUGUGUAACCAGAAUAGACAGGUGUUACAAAAGUAGGAUAAAUCUUUAUCUUCUGUGCGGCAAGCAUCACAGCUGAACAAGGCUUCCUUGGGCAUUAAAGUUAAUGGGUGAUUGUGGGAUUCAUGAUGAAAGCUGCGAUCCUGCAAAACACAUGUCAAACAAACGUCAAACUCACAACUUACACAUUGAUAGGUGAACCACUUCCAACCCUUGACGCAGCAGACAUCACAAAUGCAGGUACGGCUAUCAUACUGUGGACGUGAAUGCAGGGUAAGAGGGUGAUCUUGGUGCAUAGGAUAUUCAAGUUCUUGGGGCAAUUCCGCACAUGUUUUGUGUAGAAAGAAAUUGUCACAAUCACCUUGGGUUGUAUUAUCAAUGGUAUGACUACUAGUGCUGCAGCUAUAUGCUGAUUCACCGAUGAGUAUUGAUUUAUUGCACCCACAACAAUUAACAUCCUCCUGAGCAUGAUCCUCAACGUUGAGGAUCAACGGAUGCUCAUGGCUAAAGUGUUGAAGUUGCUCCAUCUCAAUACGUGGGUACGGUUAAAAUUAAGACAAGGAUAUAAAGAGAAGAGGAUUACAAUUGGCAAGAGAAUUGUGAAAAUUUUAACACCAAGAACUCAUCAUAUAAAGCAAAGUCUACCACCAAGUCUUUGUACAUAUAUGUAUAUAGGACAAAUUGUAUUUAUCUUGAACACAAAAAAGAUGGUUUGAAAAAUGAUAUGUAAUUAGAAAAUGAAAAGUAAUAUGUGAAAGAGAAAGAGAGAAAUAGAGAGAUGAAAAUUGGGAAGCUGAUAUGUAAUUAUCUAGUCUUUGUUUAUGUUCUUCAAAUAUAUUACAGAUAUUUAAUAUAAAAUAUUUUUCCUGUUUGAUCACGCAGAUCAAAAAAUUAGAUAAACAAAUAGAAAACUUGAUCACAAAAGUCCAUUUUGAUUGGACAUUAAAA